rnacentral:tRNA from 1 species
GUGGCCGGGGCGCCGCCGCUUAGGCGCAGGCGUUAGAUUGACGCCAUGAUCGCGUACAGCGAGGUGCGGGCCUUCACGGCCACGCC